rnacentral:lncRNA from 1 species
CUUUUCCACGUAAAGUUAUGUCAAAAUGUUAACGCUUUCAUAUAGAUUUAAUACAAGUUCAUAUUUACGUUCAGAUUUAAUGAAAACAAAUAAAUAAAAUAGGAGUAUUUUAUAGGGAUGAGAACAGCUCUCUAUAUAAGCUACGAGUGUUUUCAUUUCCCCACAUUAGAGAAGACGACUGAUAAAGUUUAUUAGCCAUGGAUUUCUUUCUAAUUGCUGUUACAUUAGCUAGCUCCUUUAUUGUACUUUUCUUUCUUCACAAACAAUUUUUCUCAGCUAAAAAGCAGAGUUGUAGUAGAAAGGUACCUGACGCUGCCGGAGCAUGGCCUGUUAUCGGCCAUCUCCACCUUCUCGGUGGAUCUGAAUCUGAUCAGCUGCCUCACAAAGUGUUGGGUCGCUUGGCAGAUAAGUACGGGUCUAUUUUCGGAAUGAAGCUUGGAGUUCAUCAGGUUGUAGUUGUGAGUGAUCACAAAUUAGCCAAAGAGUGCUUCACAACAAACGAUUUAGCCCUAGCGAACCGGCCUAAAUCCAUGGCUUCAGAGAUUAUAGGCUACAAACACGCUAUGUUUGGACUUUGUUCUUACGGUCCUUACUGGAGAGAAACAAGGAAGAUUGCCACAAUUGAACUUUUCUCCGCUCGGCGAAUCGAGAUGCUCAAACACAUCAGACAAUUUGAGGUAAAUUCAUCUGUUAAAGAGAUUUAUAAUAAUUGGGCGAAGAAUAAUUUAAAUGCUGUUGUGAAGAUGGAGAUGAAGGAAUGGAUUGGGGAUUUAGUUAUGAAUACUAUGGGGAAAAUGUUAUUCGGAAAAGGGCGAAGGAGUAAUGAGGACGAAGGAAUAAAUAAGGCUCACAAAGCAAUUCGAAGAUUUUUCGAAUUGUUAGGAGCUUUUGUUGUGGCUGAUUUUUUACCUUAUUUAAGAUGGCUGGACAUUGGAGGCCAUGAGAAAGCAAUGAAGGAGGUUUCUAAAGAAAUGGACUCUGUCGUUGAAGAAUGGUUAACAGAACACAAAACGAAGAGAGGAAUUAUUAAAUCUGGUGAAGCAGAAGAAGAUUUCAUGGAUGUCAUGCUUUCCAUUUGUGAAGAUAGAGAUCUGCCUGGAUUUGAUGCCGAUACCGCUAUCAAAGCUACUUGUAUGGUACGUUUCUUCUGAUCAAAUUACUCCGAAAUUGUUUCUAUAUUUGAUCUCGUAUAUGGUUCUGAUUGCUGAAUUUGUCUUGUUUAGGCUCUGCUAUCGGCAGGUACAGACACGACGAUCGUAACUCUAACAUGGACUUUAUCUCUACUACUCAACAACUAUCAAGCACUUCAAAAGGCUCAAGAUGAGCUAGACGCUCAUGUUGGCAAGAACAGAUGGGUCCAAGAAUCGGAUAUAAAAAACUUAGUUUACCUUCAAGCUAUUGUUAAAGAAGGAUUACGUUUAUAUCCGGCAGCACCACUCUCAGUACCACACGAGUCGAUGGAGGAUUGUACUAUCAGUGGGUAUGAUAUACCAAAUGGCACUCGCUUGUUAGUGAACUUAUGGAAGAUUCAUCACGAUCCUAAUAUAUGGCCAAAUCCUCACGAGUUUAAGCCAGAGAGGUUCUUGUCGACCCACAAGGAUGUUGAUGUAAAGGGCAAUCACUUUGAGUUAAUGCCAUUUGGUAGUGGAAGAAGAAUGUGCCCUGGAAUUUCGUUAGCCCUUCAAGUUUUGCCCUUUGUAAUAGCAAUGUUGCUGCAGGGGUUUGACAUGAAGAGGCUUUCGGAUGAACCAAUUGAUAUGAGUGAGAGCUUUGGAUUGACAGUGCUCAAAGCUUCUCCACUUGAAGUUCUCCUUGCUCCGCGCUUGGCUCCCGAUCUUUAUGAAUGAAAUGAUAGACAAAAUGUGUGCCUCAUGCCACUGUUGUUUACUACUAGUUUGUAAUAUUGUAAUGCAAAUAAUAACAAAACUUCAAAAUUCCUAUAUUUGAAAUGUGAUUGUAAAAGUAUUUUAGCAGUCCUAAUGAACAACUACACCCUUUUGUGUUUGGGCACUUAUGGCCCAUUAUUAGCAAGAUAUCAAAAAGAGAGUCCUAGUCGAUUUUCUCGUGUAGAAAUACUGUACUUCCUCACAAAUAAGACAUUCGUCAUUGUAGAUUUACUCGAUAUCAAAUGUUGUUCAAAAUAUAAAUGAGAAAUUGGUUCGAGAACUUGAUCAUGAAUAUUACUGUACCUAGUAAUUUGAAUCUACAAUUUAACGUUAAAAUAUAUGAUCAACGCAUUUAAUAAUUUAAGAUACUAUUAAAGAGAUAGAACAUGGUUUUAUUUUUUUAAUAUAUUCUGUACCUAGUGGUUGAACUUGAGGCCACAGUUGUACAUACAUGUUUGGCAUGUGUAUAUAUAUAUAUUCACUUAAAAUUUGUUAAUUCAUCCUACCUCUCAAAAAGGCCAAGUUGUACUCGUGAGUUGGACAAGAUGUGAUCUCACAUGGGAAGAUAUGAAUAUGAUUUUCCUCUAUUAAAUGAAUCGAGCUUAACGUACACACCUUGUAUAAUUUUAAGAGCUAUUGCGUAUAAGUGAAUUUAUUGGGUGCGUACAUAAAUCAAAUCUGAUUAAUUACCUAAUUAAAAUAAUCUUGAAGACCAUGUGAUAUUGUAAAAUUUGUAUUGUAUAUAAGAUUCCCUAGCUCCUUUCACAAACAGAGCAGAGCAGAGAAGCGAUGGAUAUCCUUUUGAUUGUUGUUACAGUAGCUGCUAGCUCCUUUAUUCUUUUCUUCUUUCUUGGCAAAACACAUAGUAAAAGUAGAAGAGUAGCUGAAGCUGGCGGAGCAUGGCCUAUUAUCGGCCAUCUCCACCUUCUGGGUGGAUCCGACACAGAUCAAUUACCUCACAAAAUCAUGGGGCGCAUGGCAGAUAAGUACGGGCCAAUUUUCGGAAUGAAGCUUGGAGUUCAUCAGGUUGUAGUUGUUAGCGAUCACAAAUUAGCCAAAGAAUGCUUCACAACUAACGAUUUAGCCCUAGCAGGUCGGCCUAAAUUAAUGUCUUCAGAGAUCAUGGGAUACAAACAAGCCUUUUUUGGACUUUGUUCUUACGGUCCUUACUGGAGAGAAACAAAGAAGAUUGCCACAAUUGAACUUUUCUCUACUCGCCGAAUCGAGAUGCUCAAACACAUCAGACAAUUUGAGGUAAAAUCAGGUAUUAAAGAGAUUCAUAAUAAUUGGGCGAAGAACAUGAAUUUAAAUGGUGUUGUGAAGAUGGAAAUGAAGGAAUGGAUUGGGGAUAUAGUUAUGAAUACUAUCCAGAAAAUGUUAUUCGGAAGUAGUAACGAGGAAGAAGGAAUAAAUUAUAAGGCUCACAAAGCAAUUAGGAGAUAUUUCGAAUUGGCAGGUGCUUUUGUUGUGGCUGAUUAUUUACCUUAUUUAAGAUGGCUGGAUAUUGGAGGCUAUGAGAAAGCAAUGAAGGAGGUUUCUAAAGAGAUGGACUCUGUUGUUGAAGAAUGGUUAGCAGAGCACAAAACGAAGAAGAUUAAAUCUGGUGAAGUAGAAGAUUUCAUGGAUGUCAUGCUUUCCAUUUGUGAAAACAAACAUCUGCCUGCAUUUGAUUCCGAUACUGCUAUCAAAGCCACAUGCAUGGUACGUACGUUUCUUCAUUAUCUUCUAAAACCUACCUACUAUUUCAAAGAAGAUUGCUGAAUAUCAUGUUGAAUUUGUCAGGGUAUACUAUCGGCAGGUACAGACACCACAAUCGUAACUUUAACAUGGAUUUUAUGUUUACUCUUAAAUAACUACGAAGCACUUCAAAAGGCUCAAGAUGAGAUAGACGCUCAUGUUGGCAAGAACACAUGGGUCCAAGAAUCGGAUAUUAAAAACUUGGUUUAUCUUCAAGCUAUUGUCAAAGAAGCAUUACGUUUAUAUCCAGCUGGACCGCUCUCUGUACCACACGAGUCAAUGGAGGAUUGUGUUAUUGGGGGAUACGAUAUACCAAAAGGCACUCGCUUAUUAGUGAACUUAUGGAAGAUUCAUCACGAUCCUAAUAUAUGGAAAAAUCCUCACGAGUUUAAACCAGAGAGGUUCUUGACGACCCACAAGGAUGUCGAUGUAAGGGGCAAUCACUUUGAGUUGAUACCAUUUGGUAGUGGAAGAAGAAUGUGCCCUGGAAUUUCUUUGGUCCUUCAAGUGGUGCCCUUUGUAAUAGCAAUGUUGCUGCAGGGGUUUGACAUGAAGAGGCCUUCAGAUGAACCAAUUGAUAUGAGUGAGAGCUUUGGAUUAUCAGUGCUCAAAGCUUCUCCACUCGAAGUUCUCCUUGCUCCGCGCUUAGCUCCCGUUCUUUAUGAAUAAAAUGAUAAAAAUAUUUGUGCCUCAUCCCACUGUUGUACACUACUAGCUCGUAAUAUUGUAGUGCAAAUAAUAACAGAACUUCAAAAUUCCUACAUUUGAAAUGUGAUUGUAAAAGUAUCUUUGGAGCCCUUACAAUGGGAAUUUCAACUUGUAACUGUGACAUUAGGCCUAUAUAUUACCUUCUCAAAAGAAGUCAUGAGGGUUUAGAAAGCAAUUUAAUAAAAGGAGAAACUACUUUGUUACAUAAACAUUCUUUUAUCAUAUUUGCUAAUUAUCUCUAUAAUUUGAAAUAAAUAUAUUUUAUCUUACUAUUUAAUAAUUUCAUAUCAGAUUUUAAGUCAGAUACAUGUGAAUCAUACUAGAUAAACACUAUGAGAGUGGUGAGCGAGAUGGGAGGGAGGCGAAAGAGAUAUGAGCAUGGUGAGCAAGAUAAGAGAGAGGCGGACGAGAUUUAUCUAUUAUACUAGAUACAUGUGAAUCAAACUAGAUACACACUAUAUACAAGUAUCCGGUGUGAUUCACAUGUAUUUGGGAUACCAGAUAUGCGAGCGAGAUAUAUAUGAGAGUGGAGAGUGAGAUGGGAGAGAGACCAGCGAGAUUUGUCUAUACAUUCAUGAUACAUGCGAACCCAUUUGGAUACAAUGUAUAUAGAAAAAUUACACCUAAUUUUGAGUUCGUUAACCCUAAAUACAUGUAUUUUGAUGUAUUUGGACACACCAAAAUCUGAUAAAAUCCAUAAUAUUGCAAACUAUCAUAUAUCUAAGUAAUUAACUCUUAAACUAGUGGAAUUUAUGUACGUUGCCUUUAAAAAAAUGAACAAGCUAUUGGGUGCAAUUGUUGUUGGUACAUUAUAGGUAGGACAUGAGGAAAAAUGAUUAUUGUUUAAAGUUCGAGAGUGAAAUUAAUUUUUUAAAUAAUUUUAAAAUGACAAUAAUAUUAUUUUUUAUUUAAGCAAAUAAGAUGAUUUUGUAAUUUGUCUUGAAAAUCUAUACAAUUUUUUUUGUGUUAUUCGAACUAACAUAAUUUAAUCCUUGUCCUUAAUUUGAAUGAGUUACAGAGCUAAUGCAUUUUUUUGGCUUAAUACAAGGUCUUGUCAUUCCCUCAACCCCACCAACAGUUGCACGAUGUCUUUGUUUCUACUAACUCGUGAAUUGAUCGUUUUCCUUAGAAAAAACGUUUGUGUUCUGAACCUACUAAUUCAUGGUAGUGAAUAGGAGAUCCACCUUCAUCUUUAUUUGUUUCGAUCGAAAAAAUAACUCGAAGUGACAUGUCAGUUAAUGUAUAUCAAGUAAUUUUGUUUUUAUUUAAAAAAAAUUGCAAAUUGAACGAAAAUAUCAACCUAUUUCAUUAAAUACUAGUCACAUCGUUAGGUACUAUUAUGCAAUUGAUUUGCAAACUUAAGGUACUACUGCCUUUAUUUCCACCCAGCUGGAGGAACCAUUUCUGACUUGUCCUUCCCUAAUUGUUUUUAUUGAGCUUGUCUUCGUUUUCUCAUCCGAGUAAUUUUCCUAGAUAGUUAUUCAUGUCUAAAAAAUUACCUAAUAAUAUUAUUUUUGUUUGUUUUGGGACUAUAAUAUCACUCAAUUUUGAAUAUUUUUCUCAAAAUAUAUUUGACACAAAAAGACAUCCUUCUCUCUCAUAAUGAAUGGCAUGUCAUAUUAUUCCAUUUUUACUAAUAAUUAAAAAAAAACUUUUUAAAUCAACCUAAUAUGAUAUACUCGGUAAAAAUAACAAUUACAUAACGCAAAGUGAACAUUUUUAAACAAACACAUAUUUAUUUUUUGUUAUUAUGAUUAACACUAAUUAUUUGUUCUAAAUCAUUUUUCAAAUCAUUCAUUCUUUAAGUUGUUAUAGAAUGCGCAAGGUGAAUAUUAAAAGCAAGUAAAAGUAAAGAAAAAAAAGUGAUGUUAAAGAACAAUUUUCACGUACUCAAAAAAAAAUCAAAAGCAUUAUAUUAACGUUAUCUUUUUACGGAUUUUUUUCUAGCAACUAUUCCCUAUGUCCAUUUUUAUUUAUUCAUUACACUAUAAAUAACUAUUCAUUUGUUACUUGUUUAUUUUAGAAAAUCAAAUGAUAAUUUAUUACUUAAUUCCUAAUUCACUGUUAUUAUUAAUUAUAGUCAUUUGUCAAUGCUUUUUUUAAAUAUAAAUUUAUUAUUUUCAAAGAUUGAUAUAGUAAAAUUAUCUUUAUUAUUAUAUCAAAUUAAUACAGGACAAGUACAGAUGUAAAGAUGGAUGGAAGGUGUAGAAACUAAAUUUCUCAGUUAAAAAAAAAUUAUUUUAAAAAAUGAAUAAUAUGAUAUGACAUUCCAUUAAAACUGUGCACUUUGCAUAUUCUUUAAGAAAUUAAUGAAUGAAUGAAUUGAGAAAUGAUUUUAGAAAAAUAAUUAAUGUUUAAUGUAAUAAUAGAAUAAAAAAUGCUUAUAUCUUAAUAUGCUAAAGUAAAAAAAUGAUAAAUGAUAAAUGAUAAAUAGUCAAGAUUUUUUUUUACUGAAUAUAACAUAUGUGACAUGGCAUCUCAAUAGAAGAGAGAAUAAUGUUUUUUCUUUGUCAAGUAUAUUUGAGGAAAAUAUGCAAAGUUGGGUGAUAUUGUAGUCCUAAAACAAACAUAAGUGAUAUUACUCGGUAAUUUCUCAAACACGACUAUCUAGGGAAAUUACUCUCUCUUUUGACUACUAAUAAAUCUAAUAUUUGAGUUUUUUUUUUUUUUAUAUAUAUAUAUAUAUAUAUAUAUUAAGAUUUAAAAAAUAUAAAACUAUCAAUUAUAGGAGAUCAUGUACAUUCUUUUUUUUCUUCAAAUUAUCAACUCAUGGUUAUCUUUAAAAAUGGUGUUUAGUUUAAUUUGAAUUACAAUACUUCAUUAGGAUUUAGUAAGGUAAGGUCUAGUCUCCCUUGUUUGUGAAUGAAAUAAUGCUCAUAAAAUUUGUGCCUCAUGCCACUGUUGUAUGCUACUAGUUUGUAAUAUUGUAGUGCAAAUAAUAACAGAACUUCAAAAUUCCUACAUUUGAAAUGUGAUUGUAAAAGUAUUUUUGGAGCCCUUACAAUGUAACUGUGACAUUAGGCCUAUAUAUUACCUUCUCAAAAGAAGUCAUGAGGGUUUGGAAAGCAAUUUAAUAAAAGGAGAAACUACUUUGUUACAUAAACAUUCUUUUAUCAUAUUUGCUAAUUUUCUCUAUAGUUUGAAAUAAAUAUAUUUUAUCUUACUAUUUAAUAAUUUCAUACCAGAUUUUAAGUCAGAUACAUGUGAAUCACACUAGAUACACACUAUAUACAUGUAUCUGGUGUGAUUCGAACGAAUCUGGGACACCAGACACGUCAGCGGAAUAUGAGAGUUGUGCGCGAGAUGGGAGGGAGGCGAAAGAGAUAUGAGCAUGGUGAGCAAGAUAAGAGGGAGACGGACAAGAUUUAUCUAUUAUACUAGAUACAUGUGAAUCACACUAGAUACACACUAUAUACAAAUAUCUGGUGUGAUUACAUGUAUUUGGGAUACUAGAUAUGCGAGCGAGAUAUAUAUAAGAGUGGAGAGUGAGAUGGGAGAGAGGCCAGCGAGAUUUGUCUAUAUAUCCAUGAUAUAUGCGAAUCCACUAGGAUACAAUGUAUAUAGAAAAAUUACACCUAAUUUUGAGUUUGUUAUCCCUAAAUACAUGUAUCUUGAUGUAUUUAGACACACCAAAAUCUGAUAAAAUUCAUAAUAUUGCAAACUAUCAUGUAUCUAAGUAAUUAACUCUUAAACUAGUGGAAUUUAUGUACGUUGUCUUUAAAAAAAUGAACAAGUUAUUGGGUGCAAUUGUUGUUGGAACAUUAUAGGUAGGACAUGAGGAAAACUGAUUAUUGUUUAAAGUUCGAGAGUGAAAUUAUUUUUUAAAAUAAUUUUAAAAUGACAAUAAUAUUAUUUUUUUAUUUAAGCAAAUAAGAUGAUUUUGUAGUUUGUCUUGAAAAUCUAUACAAUUUUUUUUGUGUGUUAUUUGAACUAACAUAAUUUAAUCCUUGUCCUUAAUUUGAAUGAGUUACAGAGUUAAUGCAUUUUUUUGGCUUAAUACAAGAUCUUGUCAUUCCCUCAACCCCACCACCAAUUGCACGAUGUCUUUGUUUCUACUAACUUGUGACGAGAGGGAGUUGUUCGGAUGGUAAGCACCCCUCACUUUCAACCUAAAAGUUGCGAGUUUAAGUCACCAAGGAAGCAAAAGGGGUGGGAGCUCCUAGGUAACAUAAAAAAAAAACUUUUGUGUUCUGAACCUACUAAUUCAUGGUAGUGAAUAGGAGAUCCACCUUCAUCUUUAUUUGUUUCGAUCGAAAAAAUAAUUCGAAGUGACAUGUCAAUUAAUGUAUAUCAAGUAAUUUUGUUUUUAUUUAAAUUUUUUGCAAAUUGAACGAAAUUAUCAACUAAUUUCAUUAAAUACUAGUCACAUCGUUAGGUACUACUCCCCCCGUUUCAAAAAGAAUGGCUUCCUUUCUUUUUUAGUCUGUUUAAAAAAGAAUGACUCAUUUCCUUUUUUGGUAACAUUUUACUUUCAACUUUCCAGGUGGCAUGUUUAAGACUACAAGAUUAAAGGACAAUUUUAUAUAUUUGACAUAACUUUAAUUUAGGGCCACAAAAUUCAAAAGUCUUCUUUAUUUUCUUAAACUCCGUGCCAAAUCAAACUAGGUCAUUCUUUGUAAAACGGAGGGAGUAUUAUGCAACUGAUUUGCAAACCUAAGGUACUACUGCCUUUAUUUCCACCCAGCUGGAGGAGCCACUUCUGACUUGUCCUUCCCCUAAUUAUUUUUAUUGAGCUUGUCUUCUUUUCUCAUCGUCUAGAGUAAUUUUCCUAGAUAGUCAUUAUGUUUGGAAAAUUAUCUAAUAAUAUUAUUUUUAUUUGUUUUAGGACUAUAAUAUCAUCUAACUUAACAUAUUUUCUUCAAAAUAUACUUAUACAAAAAGACUUCUUUCUCACUCCUAAUGAAUGACAUGUCAUAUUAUUCCAUUUUUACUACUGUAAUAAUUUUAAAAAAAAACUUUUUAAAUCAACGUAUAUGUAUAAAAAGUUAAAAUGACAAUAUUACCAUAUAAUUGUAAAAAAAUGUUAUAGUUUACAAAAUAUAUAAUUUUACUAAUUUUUAAUAUAAAAAACAAACAUCCAAAGAAAUAAUUUUUGCAUAACUAAACUUCGCAUAACUAAUACCUACAUAUUAAUACUUGCAUAACUAAUAUCCGCAUUAUUAAUACAUGUAUAAUUCUAUUCAACUAACAAACUACCCUUGUUUCAUAAUAGGAAAUUUUUCCAAAAUCAAAUUAGGAAAUUACUCAUCUCUUUUUCAUCUGACGUUCUGAAUAUAAAUUAGCAUCAAUCAGAUCAACGAGUAUCUUCCCCAAAGUAACUAGCUCCUUUCACAGAGCAGACAUGGAUUUAUUUUUGAUUGCCGUUACAGUAACUUGCUCAUUGCUUGUUUUCUUCUUUCUUCGCAAACAAUUUUUCACAGAUAAAUCAGAGCGUAGAAUUAGAACAGUACCUGAAGCUGGCGGAGCAUGGCCUAUUAUCGGCCAUCUCCAC